GAUGAACGCUGGCGGCGUGCCUAAUACAUGCAAGUCGAGCGAACAGACGAGGAGCUUGCUCCUCUGACGUUAGCGGCGGACGGGUGAGUAACACGUGGAUAACCUACCUAUAAGACUGGGAUAACUUCGGGAAACCGGAGCUAAUACCGGAUAAUAUAUUGAACCGCAUGGUUCAAUAGUGAAAGACGGUUUUGCUGUCACUUAUAGAUGGCUCCGCGCCGCAUUAGCUAGUUGGUAAGGUAACGGCUUACCAAGGCAACGAUGCGUAGCCGACCUGAGAGGGGGAUCGGCCACACUGGAACUGAGACACGGUCCAGACGCCUACGGGAGGCAGCAGUAGGGAAUCUUCCGCAAUGGGCGAAAGCCUGACGGAGCAACGCCGCGUGAGUGAUGAAGGUCUUCGGAUCGUAAAACUCUGUUAUUAGGUAAGAACAAAUGUGUAAGUAACUAUACACGUCUUGACGGUACCUAAUCAGAAAGCCACGGCUAACUACGUG
rnacentral:rRNA from 1 species